UGGGGAAUCUUCCGCAAUGGGCGAAAGCCUGACGGAGCAAUGCCGCGUGAGUGAAGAAGGCCUUCGGGUUGUAAACUCUGUCCUUAUCGAAGAGAGGGUAUGGUGUGAAUAAUGCCAUAUUAGGACGGUAGAUAAGGAGGAAGCCCCGGCUAACUACGUGCCAGCAGCCGCGGUAAUACGUAGGGGGCGAGCGUUGUCCGGAAUCACUGGGCGUAAAGGGCGCGUAGGCGGUCUGGUAAGUCAGUGGUGAAAACUGAGGGCUCAACCCUCAGCCUGCCACUGAUACUGUCAGACUUGAGUAUGGAAGAGGAGAAUGGAAUUCCUAGUGUAGCGGUGAAAUGCGUAGAUAUUAGGAGGAACACC
rnacentral:rRNA from 1 species